CCUACGGGAGGCUGCAGUGGGGGAUAUUGCACAAUGGGGGAAACCCUGAUGCAGCGACGCCGCGUGUGGGAAGACGGUCCUCUGGAUUGUAAACCACUGUCCCCAGGGACGAAGAUGAGGGUACCGGGGGAGGAAGCUCCGGCUAACUACGUGCCAGCAGCCGCGGUAAUACGUAGGGAGCGAGCGUUUUCGGGAAUUACUGGGUGUAAAGGGAGUGUGGGCGGGGAUGCAAGUUGGGUGUCAAAACUACCGGCUCAACUGGUAGUCGCACUCAAAACUGCAGCUCUUGAGUGAAGUAGAGGCAGGCGGAAUUCCUAGUGUAGCGGUGAAAUGCGUAGAUAUUAGGAGGAACACCAGUGGCGAAGGCGGCCUGCUGGGCUUUUACUGACGCUGAGGCUCGAAAGUGUGGGGAGCAAACAGGAUUAGAUACCCGUGUAGUC
rnacentral:rRNA from 1 species